GUCCAAGGGAGAUACAUGUUCGAUCUUUUUGCUAAACACUAGUCAUAGCGGAGGUCUUCUAUGUAAGACAGUGGUAUUUGGUCAAGAUAUAUAUCUGGUAUAUGUUUCGUUUAAGGGAACAUAUAUUUAUUCUUGUGAGCUUCCUCCAGGCAUGCUUGGAGGAUGCUCCGAGCAUUUUAGAGAAGCUAAUAUCGUUAAUACACCAUUACAUUCCCAAUAAUGUCAAUCAAAUAUAAAAGUAAUAGUUAAGAGCUUGUAUGAGCUUUUUGUGAGCCUUUUGUACAAAUUUCUGUAAUAAUAAAGUUUUACUAUGUUGCCC
rnacentral:lncRNA from 1 species